rnacentral:rRNA from 1 species
AAUGAACGCUGGCGGCGUGCUUAACACAUGCAAGUCGUACGAGAACUCUUUAGCUUGCUAAAGAUAGUAAAGUGGCGUACGGGUGAGUAAUACGUGGGUAAUCUUCCUCCGAAUUGGGGAUAAACAUUGCGAAAGCGAUGCUAAUACCGGAUGACAUCCUAAAGUCUUGGGGCUUAAGGAUCAAAGGUGGCCUCUACAUGUAAGCUACUGUUUGGAGAUGAGCCCGCGUACCAUUAGCUUGUUGGUAGGGUAACGGCCUACCAAGGCGACGAUGGGUUAGCUGGUCUGAGAGGAUGAUCAGCCACACUGGAACUGACACACGGUCCAGACUCCUACGGGUGGCUG